AUGCUGGUGACUUCUUAUGAAUAUUAUGAUUUAGAAUUUAUAUACCUACCUAUACCUGCAGCUCUCAGGAUGGUUCACAGAAUAAAAUCCGAAUAUAAAACCUCAAAAUACAUUUGCUGCCUCUUGCGCAAUAGGGAGCCCUUUGGCUCUCCGGAUCAGAUAUUCUGCUGGGCAUUGCCAUUCAAAGAGUGUGCGUGCACUGCGCCAUGGGAUCGAUUUUGCGGGACGGGGCGGCCCUCCCCCCCCGCACCAUUUCCACUCCACCCGCCCCCCCUCUCCCCCGGGAGGGAGUUUCCCCCGUUCGACUGCGCGCUGCGUCCAAAGGGCUUUCCUCGGAGGCGCCGCGUCCCUUUCGGAGUUCCCCCAGAGCCCCGUCGGGCCGGGGCUGCCUGCGAAGUCUCUCCCGGACUCGAGGCUCCUCCCGCGUCCCUCGCCAGGAAGCGCUCGCCGUCCCCCCGGGGGAGAAGGAGGGCGACGGGAGCCGGCGGGGCCCAGGGCUCGUCGGAGGAGCCGAGUCGGGGCUGCCGCUCCCUUCCCAACUUCUCUGCGCCCCGGUGGGAAGUGGGAACCAGCUGGGAGCCAAAGAGCGCCUGCGGAGCGCGCGCCCUCCCCGUCUCGGUGCGCCCCGGCGGGGCUCGACGGGGCCCCGGUCCCUGCUUGGUGGGAGCCCUUCUUUCUUCUCCGCUGCCCGGAGGAGGAGGAGGCGGAGAAGGAGGCGGAGGCGCCUUUUCCCCGCCUCGAAGGGGCCGCCGAGCAGCGCGCCAAGCGGCUCCCCUCGCCACUGCGCCUCGCCGGACGAGACGCGCCACAGGCUCGGGAAGAAGAAGGAAGGAAGGAAGCGAGCGAGAGAGCGAGAGAGCCAGCACGGCUUGCAGCCUCUCUGCCGCCCCCGCCGCCCCUCCACGAUCCCCCGUGGGCGCCCCGGGCCAAGAGUCUCCCGCAGCCGCCAUGCGCCCCUCGCGGCCCGCCCGUCGGGGGCGCCGCCUCCUCCUCGCCGGGCUCUGCUAA
rnacentral:lncRNA from 1 species